rnacentral:lncRNA from 1 species
UUUCCAAAUUUUUCUUCUUUUCAUCCUAGAGGGCCUAUGUUUCAAAAAUAAUCCCACAUGCAACCACUUUAAAGCAGUCUUGCUUUUGUUAAAACAAUUCUGCCCAUUCUAUCUUCCCCUUGCCCUGCACGUGCUCCUGGCAGCACCCUCAAGGCACAGUCAAAUGGGAGCUGCUGUUAGUAAGGGAGUUCCCCAGGCUCUCUGAAAACUGGCAUCUGGGGCCUCAGAACAGAGUAUGGCUUAAAGAUGGGCAGUAAUUCCCAUGCAGGGAGCAGAGGGCAGGGUGUUGUUGUUGUUGUUGUUUUUCCUUUCCCCAGGGAAGAUAGAGCAUCGUACAGAAAUAAGAUAAGAUCUGAGGCACAAGGCACAAGAAAGGGCAGGUUGAGCACAUUUCAUAAGAGCAAAUGUGGAAAUGAUGGGCCCAGUGGCCUAUAGGGUUGGGUAAAAGACACAAGUGGCUGGCCAUAGAAAUGGCAGGGGUAAGACCUAAAACCCUCAUGUGGGCCUUGCCUGGCUCAGGUACCAUUUCCAGUUCCUCCACCAACCCCUCAAACUGAAGCCCUUGAAUUAUCUUCAUCCUUCAGAUCUCUGGGAAAGAAAUGUCUCCUGCAAGCCACCUCAGAUCCAGUUGUCAUGCACCUGUUCCCACUGUGGCCUCUGGCACUUUAUUAGCUCCUCUAAGAAAGAGGUUUUUAAACUUAAGGUUAUGACCCACUCUCAAACUGUGAAAUCAAUUCAGUGGCUCCAUCAGCAUUACAAAAAUGCCAUCAAAAGAAUAGAAGCUAUCAGAACAUGGUCCCAUGUAAUGACAAUGUGUAUUAUUUUGCAAAACUUAUUUUAGAGAUGUGCGCACACACAUUCACACGUGAAUAUGUGCAGGCUCACUGUAUAAAACAUAGUUUUGAUUAUGUCUGCUGUUCAACGUUGUGGAUAAACAUAGCUCUAAGAGACUUAGCUUGCUGACAUCUAAGCUAAUGUCUUUCCUCUCCUGCUCAUAUAAAUGGACAGGAGUAAUACAUGUUGUGUUAUCUCCAGCACAUGCUUGGACUUGGGUAUCAGAUAAAGCUGGGUUCAAAUUCUGGUUCCAUUAUUUGUAGUUGUAUAAAUUUGAGAUGAUAUCUAGAUUUUGAUAAGGAUAAUACAUUCUUUAUGAGAUAGAUGCAAAGAUUCAACAAAUCAUUGACUUGAAAAUGCUAAACAAGAUUUGUCCAGUGCAGAGAAAAGACAAAGAACACAUAGAGGUUACCAAUCAGUGGAAAGACUAAAAUAUCCAUCAGUCCAUUCAUUCAUUCAUUCAUUCAUUCACUCAUUUAUUCCUCUAUCCACUGACCCAGCAUAUUUAUUAACACCUGCUAUGUGCCAGGGAUUGUUUUAAGCACAGAACAAACUUGGUACUGAUCUCAUGGAACCUUCAGCCUACUAAGAUAAUUAAAAUACUUAACAAAUCCAAAUAAUAAAAAGUACUAUUACAAGAACAAAUAGUAAAGUUGACAGAAGACAAAAGAGAGGAACUCACAUAGAGAAAAGAGGUUUGUCUGAAGAAAUGAGAUUUAAACUGAGAUCAGAAUGAUGAGAGAGAGCCAUCCAUGCCCUGACAGAUUGGGGAAGGAAAGAGGGUAGUUUUCCAGGCAAAGAUAAUCAUGGCACAUACAAAGGGCAUAGGAGAAGAAGGUUAGCAAGUCUGAAGAACAGAGAAGAGGCCAUUGUGUCUGGAGCAUGGAGGGCAACUUUAAGUUGGGACUGUUGUGACUGGAGUGAUCACAACAGAGUGGCUGCAGUGUGGAGAAGGGAGGAAGAGGAUGGGAUAAAAGCAGGAAGACCAAUAAGUAGGUAUGUGAGGAUGAGGUAAUUGUGGGGAUGUCAGGAAGAUUGAUGUGGCUUGAAGAGGAAUGGACGGUCAUAGGGUGGGAAGCAGGGGUGAAGGCGAGGAGUCUGGAAACUUAGGCUAGAGCCUCAUUGUGAAGAAGCUUGAACACCAAGAUAAGACAUUGAAUAAGGUGUUGACUCUGAAAGAGCUCUGAAAAUUCAUGAAAUGCUACACAAAGAUGAAAUUUACAUGACAUUCACAGGGGGUGUCAGAAGGGUGAGUUAACAAACAGCUUCUCUGUUUCUGACACCCUAGAGUGAUCUAUUGACACCAAACAUGAGUUCCCUGCACCCUUGGGGACCACUCGAAACACUCCCAAACAAUAGGAUCUCCCUGCUGCAAAGUUCCUUCUGCCAAUUUAGGAGCUCAGAAUUACUGUGUAACAGCUUCCUUCUUCAGGGAACACAUGUUGAUUACCUAUUUUUUAUUCCCAGAUUUGUGAGUGAAGCAAGCCCAUGGUUGCUGUGCAUUAGCUCUCCCUAAGCUUUUAAGAGCUCAUUGCCGUCCCAAGGAUUACGAACCUCAGUGUGGUGUAGUGAGUUCAAAUCCCAGCUCUGCAUCUUACUACAAUAGCUCUCAUGUUGGAGUUUUCACCUGACUCAGCCAUACUCCAGCUGUGUUACCUUGAGCAAGUUACUUAACCCCUCUUUGCUUUGGUCUCCUCCUCUGUACAGUAGGGAUAACAUUAGUACACACCUCAUAGGGUUAUUGUGAGGUAUAAAUGACACAAUUCAUGGCAAGUUCCCAGAAGAGUGGUAGAAAUCAGCUGUUGUCAGCAGCAGCAGCAACAGUAUCCUAGCCUAAUCAAUCCUUCCAUCCAUCUUCUACUCAGGAUUAAUUACAAAUGGCUUAAUGAGAUUCAAGUUUUAUUGCAAGAACUUGGUCAAAGCAGAUUUCCAGUAUUCUGGGGCUCAUCGUGCCACUGACUACUGAAACAGACAUCCCAGGCUGGGCUUCUAAAGAACUCAGGAGGCAUCAUCUAAAACAUGGUAGCAGCUUAGGGCCCUGCACUCGGGGAAGCAGCCCAGAAGGGGAUUAGAAGAUCUGUGGAGACAGAGCUGGAGUAACUGUCUUCACCCUGCCACCUCCAUGGGGCUGUAUAACAAAAUUACAAAAGCCACCCAGGGACAGCAGCCACCACAGAAAAUUUUGGCUUUGAAGUGAGAAUCAGAGGACACAGAGGAAAAAUAGAGAUGCUGAAUGUUGGUUCCACUGUCAAGCUGGGGAAAUGAUAUAUACCUCUCUCCAUUCCCACAACAUAGGAGAAAUGAGGGGCAAAACAGCAUUCCAGGAGUGGACUAAAUGUAUAAAAGAAGAGCAAAGGAAAUCGGAGAAAAGAAGAGAUUUGUUGUAGUCAUUGCUCUGCCCUCUUUUCCAUUGUGGGACAAAGGGCCAGCCUCAGUUUUCCCACCUAUACAGUGGGGAUACUGUUGGACUACAUCUGCAAGGAUGAUUUCAGUUUUCAGGUUAUAGGUUUUUUUGUUGUUGUUUUAUUCCUGGGUCCCCUUGUCACUGCUCAAGAUGCCAGCUUGGCAGCUGAGGCCAGUAAAAAGAAGAGUAGGGAGUGGUUUAGUCUCUCCAUUGGAAGGAAGAAGGAAGGAACGAUUGUGGCCCAUCUCUAUAGCCUUGUGCUGACUUAGAGUGUCUCAUCCCAUCAAACGCAUGGGUCAUGAAGUUCAAUUCAUUAAUUUUGGUGGUGGAGGGAGGCUGACAGACUUGGUGCUGACAUGAAUAAUGAUGGGUCACCGGGAGAGGCCCCAGCAAAACCUGCAGCUUAAUCAGACUCAGAGAGUCUCUGCGGGCAUUAAUGUAGGCCAAGUGCUUUCCAGCCAAUCAGACCCCAUUUCAAUUUAAUGUUGCAAAUUGUUACCACGCAGCUCAGCCUCUCAACGCACAACUCAGACUCAAAAGUGGGUUACUCAUCUGUUCCCUUUUCCUGUUCAUUUGGAAACACCUCCCUGAUUAUUGUCUGUGUGACAGUUUGCAGCAAAGGAGGUGGAUAAAGUAUGGUGGCAAGAAUUCACACCGGGUUAUGUAAGGGGAGCGGGUGUCCCUGCUCCAUCACUUUCUAUUCACAUUUCUAAAGCCAUGCUUUGCUUGCUUGUAAAGGUCUGCUGUGUCUCCAUCGCCUGCAGGAUAAAAUCCAAGCCUUUAUCAUCAAAAUUCUUUAGCCUUACCACCCACAGUGCUUCCCCAGGCAUUCUCUGCCACAGCCACAACAAACCACUUCCACUCCCUAAAACAUGCUGUGCCCUUGCAUCUUGAAGCCUCCUUGUGCUUGCAUAUGUUGUGCCCUCUGUCUGAAACGUCUGCCUUAGCUCCCCUCUGUUUUCUCUGCCUCACCUGUAUUUUCCAGUGUCACCCCAGAAAAAGACACACCAAAGUAGUAGAUCCUGAAGGGAUAGGGAUCGUCUAUUUCACUUCUUGCCUAGAGUAGAUAUACAAAGGUAGAAUAAAUGAAUGAAAGAAUCAGUAUAUAACUUUGGCCAAGACAUUUCAAGUUUCUGACUCUUCUUUUUCUUAGAUACAAAAUAAUAAAAAUAGCUCUUUCACAGAUAUUAUUGUGGCCAGUGACGGAAGGCUUUUCAGCCCUUCCACCCUCCCAGUACCUCUGAGAGCCUUCUUUGGAUGAAAUUGUCCAUGUAAGCUCCUGACCUCAAAAAUGCUCCCCUUAGCUCCUGGGGCUUCACCUCUCUGUAGCUCAGGUUUCUCAGAUGCAAAAUGUGUGUACUGAAGCAUGAAUGGUUGGAAAGAUUAAAAGCAUGUAUUCACUCAUCCCUGCUUUCAGUAUAUACAACCAAUGUAUAAGCCAAAAAUAAAAUUCUAAGGCCCCCCUCAACCAUCUGAAUGGACCCCUCCUCUCGGCCAAGGGCAUUUCAAAGUUAACCUGAAAAACUAGUUCAGGCCAUGAUGGGAAGGGGAGGUCAGACAUACCUCAUUAUGCCCUCCUCCCUUUGGGAAUUUGGGAAAAACCAACCAGCAUUAACAUCAGCACAGACCAUAGAUCUAAUAAGAAACGUAUACAAUCUGUUUUCUCUGAAGCCUGCUACCUAGAGGCUUCAUCUGCAUUAUAAAACCUUGGU